UACGAAGGGGGCUAGCGUUGUUCGGAAUUACUGGGCGUAAAGCGAGUGUAGGUGGUUGUCACAGUCAGGUGUGAAAGCCUUGAGCUCAACUCAAGAAAUGCACUUGAUACUAGGCGACUAGAGGACCGGAGAGGAUAGUGGAAUUCCCAGUGUAGUGGUGAAAUACGUAGAGAUUGGGAAGAACACCUGUGGCGAAAGCGGCUCACUGGACCACAACUGACGCUGAGGCGCGAAAGCUAGGGGAGCAAACAGG
rnacentral:rRNA from 1 species